UACAGAGGUCACGAACGUUGUCCGGAAUUAUUGGGCGUAAAGGGCGCGUAGGUGGUCAGGUAAGUCAGGUGUGAAAGCUCUGGGCUUAACCUGGGAACUGCAUUCGAGACUGCAUUGCUAGAGUAUGGGAGAGGAAGUGGAAUUUCCGGUGUAGCGGUGAAAUGCGUAGAUAUCGGAAGGAACAUCAGUGGCGAAAGCGACUUCCUGGACCAAUACUGACGCUCAUGUGCGAAAGCGUGGGAGCAACAGGG
rnacentral:rRNA from 1 species